GACGAACCGUGCAAACGUUGUUCGGAAUCACUGGGCUUAAAGGGCGCGUAGGCGGCUUGCCAAGUCAGGGGUGAAAUCUUUCGGCUUAACCGGAAAAGUGCCUCUGAUACUGGCGAGCUAGAGGGAGGUAGGGGCAUGUGGAACUUCCGGUGGAGCGGUGAAAUGCGUUGAUAUCGGAAGGAACGCCGGUGGCGAAGCGACGUGCUGGAUCUCUUCUGACGCUGAGGCGCGAAAGCUAGGGGAGCGAACGGG
rnacentral:rRNA from 1 species